rnacentral:misc_RNA from 1 species
AUCCCUGACCUGCUUGAGUUC